GAUGAACGCUGGCGGCGUGCCUAAUACAUGCAAGUCGAGCGAACAGACGAGGAGCUUGCUCCUCUGACGUUAGCGGCGGACGGGUGAGUAACAAGUGGAUAACCUACCUCUAAGACUGGGAUAACUUCGGGAAACCGGAGCUAAUACCGGAUAAUAUAUUGAACCGCAUGGUUCAAUAGUGAAAGACGGUUUUGCUGUCACUUAUAGAUGGAUCCGCGCCGCAUUAGCUAGUUGGUAAGGUAACGGCUUACCAAGGCAGCGAUGCGUAGCCGACCUGAGAGGGUGAUCGGCCACACUGGAACUGAGACACGGUCCAGACUCCUACGGGAGGCAGCAGUAGGGAAUCUUCCGCAAUGGGCGAAAGCCUGACGGAGCAACGCCGCGUGAGUGAUGAAGGUCUUCGGAUCGUAAAACUCUGUUAUUAGGGAAGAACAAAUGUGUAAGUAACUAUGCACGUCUUGACGGUACCUAAUCAGAAAGCCACGGCUAACUACGUG
rnacentral:rRNA from 1 species